rnacentral:rRNA from 1 species
UACGAAGGGGGCUAGCGUUGCUCGGAAUCACUGGGCGUAAAGGGCGCGUAGGCGGCCCGAUAAGUCCGCCGUGAAAGUCCAGGGCUCAACCCUGGAAUGCCGGUGGAAACUGUCGGGCUGGAGUCCGGAAGAGGCGAGUGGAAUUCCUGGUGUAGCGGUGAAAUGCGCAGAUAUCAGGAGGAACACCAAUGGCGAAGGCGGCGCUCUGGGCCGGAACUGACGCUGAGGAGCGAAAGCGUGGGUAGCAAACAGG